CCCUCCACUUCUCUCUCAUCCUCCAUUUUUCUCUCUAUCCUGUAUAUUCCUCUCAACUUCUUUCUCAUCUUCCUCUGCAAUCGUUGUAACUACUUUCUCUCUCACUUAAGCCCGAGUGUAGUUGGUCUUUUCGUCAGUUUCGACUUAGAGCAGAUUGUGUCAUCAAGCCAGGGCUCGCGAUGCCCAUCGCAUUUGUCGCAUUUUGCGAUUUUUCAGAAAAAAAUGCGACAGAAAUUCCGGAAAUGCGACACGGACAUUUCGUAUUUUAGUAUUCGUGCGCCAUUUUGAAUUUCAGCUGUUGGCAUCCAAACAGCCUCAGGGCUGUUUUACCUGUGCAGAAUGUGGAUACCCUGUCGCAUGGGAACAAUAAGACUUAGGGGCGUCUUGUUUAUUUAGCAGUUUACACAAAACAAAGGGUUGAUCCUCUAUGUGCAGACUUCAUGAAGUCCCUUCUCCUCUACAUGAUGAGAUUCACCAAAGGACCACUUUGUCAUUCUGGAUUUCAAGAUGAAAACAGGAUUCUUCAGUGAAAAUGUGAUGUGAAACUAUGAUCAUGUGUUAUGUAUUACAGUAAUUAAUUUUCAGUAACUUUGUCAUCAGUGACUUUUUCUAGACUGCAAAUUUAAUGAGUAAUAUAUGUCAUUUACACUACUAAAAUGAUUAAUAAACAUUUAGAAACUCA